GUCUUCUUGAAUAUAUGGGAAGUCUGACCUGCCCGGUGAAUAUAUAUUUAACGGCCGCGGUAUUUUGACCGUGCAAAGGUAGCAUAAUCAUUAGUCUUUUAAUAGAGGGCUGGAAUGAAGGGUUUGACGAAAUGCUUACUGUCUCAUUUAAUUUGAAAUUUGAAUUUAACUUUUUAGUUAAAAGGCUAAAUUGUUGUUGGAAGACGAGAAGACCCUAUAGAGCUUUAUAUUUUAAAAUUUAAAAAAUUUUUGUUUUAUUAUUAUUUUUUAAAUGGAAAAUUAUUUUGUUGGGGUGACAAGAAUAUAUAAUAAACUUUUUUAUUUAAAUAACAUUGAUUUAUGAUUAUUAGAUCCAUUAUUAUUGAUUGAUAGAGAAAGUUACCUUAGGGAUAACAGCGUAAUCUUCCUUCAGAGUUCAAAUUUACAGGAAGGCUUGCGACCUCGAUGUUGGAUUAAGAUAAUAAUUAGGUGUAGUCGCUUAAUUAAUAGGUCUGUUCGACCUUUAAAUUCUU
rnacentral:rRNA from 1 species